GGUUAAGCGACUAAGCGUACACGGUGGAUGCCCUGGCAGUCAGAGGCGAUGAAGGACGUGCUAAUCUGCGAUAAGCGUCGGUGAGGUGAUAUGAACCGUUAUAACCGGCGAUUUCCGAAUGGGGAAACCCAGUGUGUUUCGACACACUAUCAUUAACUGAAUCCAUAGGUUAAUGAGGCGAACCGGGGGAACUGAAACAUCUAAGUACCCCGAGGAAAAGAAAUCAACCGAGAUUCCCCCAGUAGCGGCGAGCGAACGGGGAGGAGCCCAGAGCCUGAAUCAGUGUGUGUGUUAGUGGAAGCGUCUGGAAAGGCGCGCGAUACAGGGUGACAGCCCCGUACACAAAAAUGCACAUAUUGUGAGCUCGAUGAGUAGGGCGGGACACGUGGUAUCCUGUCUGAAUAUGGGGGGACCAUCCUCCAAGGCUAAAUACUCCUGACUGACCGAUAGUGAACCAGUACCGUGAGGGAAAGGCGAAAAGAACCCCGGCGAGGGGAGUGAAAAAGAACCUGAAACCGUGUACGUACAAGCAGUGGGAGCCUCUUUAUGGGGUGACUGCGUACCUUUUGUAUAAUGGGUCAGCGACUUAUAUUCUGUAGCAAGGUUAACCGAAUAGGGGAGCCGAAGGGAAACCGAGUCUUAACUGGGCGUUAAGUUGCAGGGUAUAGACCCGAAACCCGGUGAUCUAGCCAUGGGCAGGUUGAAGGUUGGGUAACACUAACUGGAGGACCGAACCGACUAAUGUUGAAAAAUUAGCGGAUGACUUGUGGCUGGGGGUGAAAGGCCAAUCAAACCGGGAGAUAGCUGGUUCUCCCCGAAAGCUAUUUAGGUAGCGCCUCGUGAAUUCAUCUCCGGGGGUAGAGCACUGUUUCGGCAAGGGGGUCAUCCCGACUUACCAACCCGAUGCAAACUGCGAAUACCGGAGAAUGUUAUCACGGGAGACACACGGCGGGUGCUAACGUCCGUCGUGAAGAGGGAAACAACCCAGACCGCCAGCUAAGGUCCCAAAGUCAUGGUUAAGUGGGAAACGAUGUGGGAAGGCCCAGACAGCCAGGAUGUUGGCUUAGAAGCAGCCAUCAUUUAAAGAAAGCGUAAUAGCUCACUGGUCGAGUCGGCCUGCGCGGAAGAUGUAACGGGGCUAAACCAUGCACCGAAGCUGCGGCAGCGACACUAUGUGUUGUUGGGUAGGGGAGCGUUCUGUAAGCCUGUGAAGGUGGCCUGUGAGGGUUGCUGGAGGUAUCAGAAGUGCGAAUGCUGACAUAAGUAACGAUAAAGCGGGUGAAAAGCCCGCUCGCCGGAAGACCAAGGGUUCCUGUCCAACGUUAAUCGGGGCAGGGUGAGUCGACCCCUAAGGCGAGGCCGAAAGGCGUAGUCGAUGGGAAACAGGUUAAUAUUCCUGUACUUGGUGUUACUGCGAAGGGGGGACGGAGAAGGCUAUGUUGGCCGGGCGACGGUUGUCCCGGUUUAAGCGUGUAGGCUGGUUUUCCAGGCAAAUCCGGAAAACCAAGGCUGAGGCGUGAUGACGAGGCACUACGGUGCUGAAGCGACAAAUGCCCUGCUUCCAGGAAAAGCCUCUAAGCAUCAGGUAACAUCAAAUCGUACCCCAAACCGACACAGGUGGUCAGGUAGAGAAUACCAAGGCGCUUGAGAGAACUCGGGUGAAGGAACUAGGCAAAAUGGUGCCGUAACUUCGGGAGAAGGCACGCUGAUAUGUAGGUGAAGCGACUUGCUCGUGGAGCUGAAAUCAGUCGAAGAUACCAGCUGGCUGCAACUGUUUAUUAAAAACACAGCACUGUGCAAACACGAAAGUGGACGUAUACGGUGUGACGCCUGCCCGGUGCCGGAAGGUUAAUUGAUGGGGUUAGCGGUAACGCGAAGCUCUUGAUCGAAGCCCCGGUAAACGGCGGCCGUAACUAUAACGGUCCUAAGGUAGCGAAAUUCCUUGUCGGGUAAGUUCCGACCUGCACGAAUGGCGUAAUGAUGGCCAGGCUGUCUCCACCCGAGACUCAGUGAAAUUGAACUCGCUGUGAAGAUGCAGUGUACCCGCGGCAAGACGGAAAGACCCCGUGAACCUUUACUAUAGCUUGACACUGAACAUUGAGCCUUGAUGUGUAGGAUAGGUGGGAGGCUUUGAAGUGUGGACGCCAGUCUGCAUGGAGCCGACCUUGAAAUACCACCCUUUAAUGUUUGAUGUUCUAACGUUGGCCCGUAAUCCGGGUUGCGGACAGUGUCUGGUGGGUAGUUUGACUGGGGCGGUCUCCUCCUAAAGAGUAACGGAGGAGCACGAAGGUUGGCUAAUCCUGGUCGGACAUCAGGAGGUUAGUGCAAU
rnacentral:rRNA from 1 species